rnacentral:rRNA from 1 species
CAGGUAGGGAUACCCGCUGAACUUAAGCAUAUCAAUAAGCGGAGGAAAAGAAACCAACAGGGAUUACCUCAGUAACGGCGAGUGAAGCGGUAACAGCUCAAAUUUGAAAUCUGGCUCCUCGGGGCCCGAAUUGUAAUUUGUAGAAGAUGCUUUGGGUCUGGGCCUGGCCUAAGUUCCUUGGAACAGGACGUCGUAGAGGGUGAGAAUCCCGUAUGCGGCUGGCGCCCGUGCCCGUGUAAAGCUCUUUCAACGAGUCGAGUUGUUUGGGAAUGCAGCUCUAAAUGGGUGGUAAAUUUCAUCUAAAGCUAAAUAUUGGCCAGAGACCGAUAGCGCACAAGUAGAGUGAUCGAAAGAUGAAAAGCACUUUGGAAAGAGAGUUAAACAGUACGUGAAAUUGUUGAAAGGGAAGCGCUGGCAACCAGACUUGGGCGCUGUUGAUCCGCUAGGGUUCUCUCUAGGGCACUCGGCAGUGCGCAGGCCAGCAUCGGUUUGGGGGGUUGGAGAAUGGCUGGUGGAAUGUGGCUGUCUUUGGGCAGUGUUAUAGCCACCGGUGGCAUGCAGCCUCCCCGGACCGAGGACCGCGCUUCGGCUAGGAUGCUGGCGUAAUGGUUGUCAGCGACCCGUCUUGAAACACGGACCAAGGAGUCUAACAUCUAUGCGAGUGUUUGGGUGUUAAACCCAUACGCGGAAUGAAAGUGAACGUAGGUGAGAACCCGCAAGGGUGCAUCAUCGACCGAUCCUGAUGUCUUCGGAUGGAUUUGAGUAAGAGCAUAGCUGUUGGGACCCGAAAGAUGGUGAACUAUGCCUGAAUAGGGUGAAGCCAGAGGAAACUCUGGUGGAGGCUCGCAGCGGUUCUGACGUGCAAAUCGAUCGUCAAAUUUGGGUAUAGGGGCGAAAGACUAAUCGAACCAUCU